rnacentral:rRNA from 1 species
UACGAAAGGGGCUAGCGUUGCUCGGAAUCACUGGGCGUAAAGGGUGCGUAGGCGGGUUUCAAGUCAGAGGUGAAAGCCCGGGGCUCAACCCCGGAACUGCCUUUGAAACUAGAUUGCUAGAAUCUUGGAGAGGCGAGUGGAAUUCCGAGUGUAGAGGUGAAAUUCGUAGAUAUUCGGAAGAACACCAGUGGCGAAGGCGGCUCACUGGCCCGAUACUGACGCUGAGGUGCGAAAGCGUGGGGAGCAAACAGG